rnacentral:rRNA from 1 species
UAACGCUUGUGGUGUGUCUUAGUCAUGCAAGUCGAACGAGAAAGUCACCUUCGGGUGACGAGUACAGUGGCGAACGGGUGAGUAACACGUGGGCAAUCUGCCCUUAGGUUGGGGNUAACACCUUCCAACGAGGUGCCUAAUACCGAAUGAUAAGACGAGUUAGUGACUUGUUUUUAAAGGUGGCCUCUACUUGUAAGCUGCCGCCUAAGGAUGGGCCCGCGUCGUAUUAGCCUUGUUGGUAGGGUAAUGGCCUACCAAGGCGACNAUCCGUAGCCGCCUGAGAGGGUGAACGGCCACACUGGCACUGAGAUAAGGGCCAGUCUCCUACGGGAGCCCAGCAGUCUAGAAAUUUGCACAAUCGCCGAAAGGCGGAUGCAGCGACACCACGUGGAGGAUGAAGCCCUCGGGUGUAAACUCCUGUCAGAAGGGAAGAAGUGCGGCGUUAAUACCGCUCGUUACUUUGACGGUACCUUCAGAGGAAGCUCCGGCUAACUACGUGCCAGCAGCCGCGGUAUACGUA